UGGUUCUGGCAUNGAUGAAGAACGCAGCGAAAUGCGAUAAGUAAUGUGAAUUGCAGAAUUCAGUGAAUCAUCGAAUCUUUGAACGCACAUUGCGCCCGCCAGCACUCUGGCGGGCAUGCCUGUCCGAGCGUCAUUUCAACCCUCAGGCCCCGCCUGGCGUUGGAGCCCUGCGCACCGCAGGCUCCCAAAGACAGCGGCGGGCGCGCCCCGGAACCGAGCGUAGUAAUCUCUCUCGUUCUGGUCCGGUGCGCGCUCCGGCCGUAAAACCCCCAACUUUCUAAGUGGUUGACCUCGGAUCAGGUAGGAAUACCCGCUGA
rnacentral:misc_RNA from 1 species